rnacentral:rRNA from 1 species
GGAAUCUUCCACAAUGGGCGAAAGCCUGAUGGAGCAACGCCGCGUGUGUGAUGAAGGGUUUCGGCUCGUAAAACACUGUUGUAAGAGAAGAAUGACAUUGAGAGUAACUGUUCAAUGUGUGACGGUAUCUUACCAGAAAGGAACGGCUAAAUACGUGCCAA